GUUCACAUCACCUGGGCAUCUUGUUAAACUGCAGAUUUGACUCAGUGUGGAUCUAGGGUAGAGUUGAAGAAUCUGCAUUUCUAAGAAGCUCCCAGGUGAUCAGAAU
rnacentral:miRNA from 1 species